GACAUAGGUGACGAACGUUAUCCGGAAUUAUUGGGCGUAAAGGAUGCGUAGAUGGUUCGACAAGUUACUGGUGGGAAAUCGAGGCUCAACCUCGUGGAAGUUUGGUAAUACUGUCGAGCUUGAGUGCAGGAGAGGUUUAAUGGAACUUUUAUGUGGAGCGGUAAAAAUGCGUAGAUAUAUGAAAAGAACACCAAUAUAGCGAAGGCAGUUAACUAUUCUGUUACUGACAUUGAGGCAUGAAAGCGUGGGGAGCAAAACGG
rnacentral:rRNA from 1 species